rnacentral:rRNA from 1 species
GUCGAGCGGUAGCACAGAGAGCUUGCUCUCGGGUGACGAGCGGCGGACGGGUGAGUAAUGUCUGGGAAACUGCCUGAUGGAGGGGGAUAACUACUGGAAACGGUAGCUAAUACCGCAUAAUGUCGCAAGACCAAAGUGGGGGACCUUCGGGCCUCAUGCCAUCAGAUGUGCCCAGAUGGGAUUAGCUAGUAGGUGGGGUAACGGCUCACCUAGGCGACGAUCCCUAGCUGGUCUGAGAGGAUGACCAGCCACACUGGAACUGAGACACGGUCCAGACUCCUACGGGAGGCAGCAGUGGGGAAUAUUGCACAAUGGGCGCAAGCCUGAUGCAGCCAUGCCGCGUGUGUGAAGAAGGCCUUCGGGUUGUAAAGCACUUUCAGCGGGGAGGAAGGCGGUGAGGUUAAUAACCUCACCGAUUGACGUUACCCGCAGAAGAAGCACCGGCUAACUCCGUGCCAGCAGCCGCGGUAAUACGGAGGGUGCAAGCGUUAAUCGGAAUUACUGGGCGUAAAGCGCACGCAGGCGGUCUGUCAAGUCGGAUGUGAAAUCCCCGGGCUCAACCUGGGAACUGCAUUCGAAACUGGCAGGCUAGAGUCUUGUAGAGGGGGGUAGAAUUCCAGGUGUAGCGGUGAAAUGCGUAGAGAUCUGGAGGAAUACCGGUGGCGAAGGCGGCCCCCUGGACAAAGACUGACGCUCAGGUGCGAAAGCGUGGGGAGCAAACAGGAUUAGAUACCCUGGUAGUCCACGCCGUAAACGAUGUCGAUUUGGAGGUUGUGCCCUUGAGGCGUGGCUUCCGGAGCUAACGCGUUAAAUCGACCGCCUGGGGAGUACGGCCGCAAGGUUAAAACUCAAAUGAAUUGACGGGGGCCCGCACAAGCGGUGGAGCAUGUGGUUUAAUUCGAUGCAACGCGAAGAACCUUACCUGGUCUUGACAUCCACAGAACUUUCCAGAGAUGGAUUGGUGCCUUCGGGAACUGUGAGACAGGUGCUGCAUGGCUGUCGUCAGCUCGUGUUGUGAAAUGUUGGGUUAAGUCCCGCAACGAGCGCAACCCUUAUCCUUUGUUGCCAGCGGUCAGGCCGGGAACUCAAAGGAGACUGCCAGUGAUAAACUGGAGGAAGGUGGGGAUGACGUCAAGUCAUCAUGGCCCUUACGACCAGGGCUACACACGUGCUACAAUGGCAUAUACAAAGAGAAGCGACCUCGCGAGAGCAAGCGGACCUCAUAAAGUAUGUCGUAGUCCGGAUUGGAGUCUGCAACUCGACUCCAUGAAGUCGGAAUCGCUAGUAAUCGUAGAUCAGAAUGCUACGGUGAAUACGUUCCCGGGCCUUGUACACACCGCCCGUCACACCAUGGGAGUGGGUUGCAAAAGAAGUAGGUAGCU